rnacentral:misc_RNA from 1 species
GUAGGUGAACCUGCGGAAGGAUCAUUACGUAAAAUGACGAUCUAGGUGAACCCCUCCGGGGCGGAGCCAGACCGACUUCUACCCCUGUUGUCUACCCCCCGUUGCUUUGGCGGGCCCGCUCGCGGGUGUCCCUGCUACGUGCUCUCUUGGCCGUGCCUGACGUGAGCUGUUUGCCCCCCGGGGCGCUCGGCCGCAGGCAGCGCGAGGCGUGGUGUGAGCUGUGCCGCCACUAGGCGUGCUCGGCCGCCCC